rnacentral:rRNA from 1 species
CCUACGGGGGGCAGCAGUGAGGAAUAUUGGUCAAUGGACGAGAGUCUGAACCAGCCAAGUAGGGUGAAGGAUGACUGCCCUAUGGGUUGUAAACUUCUUUUAUAUGGGAAUAAAACGUUCCACGUGUGGGAUUUUGUAUGUACCAUAUGAAUAAGGAUCGGCUAACUCCGUGCCAGCAGCCGCGGUAAUACGGAGGAUCCGAGCGUUAUCCGGAUUUAUUGGGUUUAAAGGGAGCGUAGGUGGAUUGUUAAGUCAGUUGUGAAAGUUUGCGGCUCAACCGUAAAAUUGCAGUUGAAACUGGCAGUCUUGAGUACAGUAGAGGUGGGCGGAAUUCGUGGGGUAGCGGUGAAAUGCUUAGAUAUCACGAAGAACUCCGAUUGCGAAGGCAGUUCACUGGACUGCAACUGACACUGAGGCUCGAAAGUGUGGGUAUCAAACAGGAUUAGAUACCCUUGUAGUC